rnacentral:rRNA from 1 species
UAGAGUUUGAUCCUGGCUCAGAUUGAACGCUGGCGGCAGGCCUAACACAUGCAAGUCGAACGGUAGCACAGAGAGCUUGCUCUCGGGUGACGAGUGGCGGACGGGUGAGUAAUGUCUGGGAAACUGCCUGAUGGAGGGGGAUAACUACUGGAAACGGUAGCUAAUACCGCAUAACGUCGCAAGACCAAAGAGGGGGACCUUCGGGCCUCUUGCCAUCGGAUGUGCCCAGAUGGGAUUAGCUUGUUGGUGAGGUAACGGCUCACCAAGGCGACGAUCCCUAGCUGGUCUGAGAGGAUGACCAGCCACACUGGAACUGGGACACGGUCCAGACUCCUACGGGAGGCAGCAGUGGGGAAUAUUGCACAAUGGGCGCAAGCCUGAUGCAGCCAUGCCGCGUGUAUGAAGAAGGCCUUCGGGUUGUAAAGUACUUUCAGCGAGGAGGAAGGCGGUAAGGUUAAUAACCUUAUCGAUUGACGUUACUCGCAGAAGAAGCACCGGCUAACUCCGUGCCAGCAGCCGCGGUAAUUACGGAGGGUGCAAGCGUUAAUCGGAAUUACUGGGCGUAAAGCGCACGCAGGCGGUCUGUCAAGUCGGAUGUGAAAUCCCCGGGCUCAACCUGGGAACUGCAUUCGAAACUGGCAGGCUAGAGCUUUUUUAAAGAGGGGGGGGUAGAAAUUCCAGGGUGUAGCGGGUGAAAUGGGCGUAGAGAAUCCUGGAGGAAAUACCGGGGGGGGGCGAAGGCGGGCCCCCUGGACAAAGACUGACGCUCAUGUGCGAAAGGCCGUGGGGAGCAAACAGGAUUAGAUACCCCUGGUAGUCCACGC